rnacentral:rRNA from 1 species
AUAUCAGUAAGCGGAGGAAAAGAAACUAACAAGGAUUCCCUUAGUAGCGGCGAGCGAAGAGGGAGUAGCCCAUAACCGAUCCCAUGGCGUGAUGUCAUCGGGACAUGUGGUGUUGGGGUGGUUCUUGCUGCGCAUUUCCAGAGUCCUAAGUCCACGUGAUUGUGGCUCAUUCCCCAGAGAGGGUGUAAGGCCCGUUAGGAUUGCAAAUGUGCAGCGCGAAGCUACUCGAAGAGUCGGUUUGCAUUC